UAAAUCCUGCGGUGUUCGUGAUAAGCGAUUUUUAAUUUACCAACACGUUUAAUACGGGAAUUUGCGUUCGUUUGUGGCAUAUACGCCCCCCUUUAUAUAAGGUCAGGGGACAUAUAAAGCAAACGGCAGAAUACCCACCUGCAUCUGCAGGUAAAAAUUAAUCGUAUCUACACGGCAUUGCGGGAUUAUU
rnacentral:other from 1 species